rnacentral:rRNA from 1 species
UACGGGGGGGGGCAAGCGUUGUUCGGAAUUACUGGGCGUAAAGCGUGACGCAGGCGGCUUUGCGAAGAACAGAUGUGAAAUCCCCCGGGGCUACAACCCGUGGGAACUGGCAUUUGUGACUGCAAGGCUGGAGUACGGCAGAGGGGGGAUGGAAUUCCGCGUGUAGCAGUGAAAUGCGUAGAUAUGCGGAGGAACACCGAUGGCGAAGGCAAUCCCCUGGGCCUGUACUGACGCUCAUGCACGAAAGCGUAGGGGAGCGAA